UCUUAGAUAAUACAUUAUUCAGUGGUGUUGUACCAUUGUCACCAUAAUUUUUUGGGAGAUCAAUAGUCACCAAACACACCUUCCAAAUGAAAAUCUAAAAUUCUAGCAUUUUAGAUUUUAAUUUAAUGUUUUAAAAAUUUUCU